CCAGUGAAAAUUUAAACGGCCGCGGUAUCCUAACCGUGCAAAGGUAGCGUAAUCACUUGUCUUCUAAAUAAAGACCAGUAUGAACGGCUAAAUGAGGAUAGCCCUGUCUCCUUUAACUAAUCAGUGAAACUGAUCUUCCAGUACAAAAGCUGGAAUAAAAAUACAAGACGAGAAGACCCUGUGGAGCUUUAAAUUAAAACCAAAAUAAACUUUAAUUAAUAUUUAUGAUAAAUAAUUUUAAGUUGGGGCGACUUCGGAAAAACCUAAACUUCCAAGCACAAAGAUACUAUCUUAAUUUAGGUUAACCAACCAAAACAAAUAUUGACCCAGUACUACUGAUCAACGAACCAAGUUACCCCAGGGAUAACAGCGCUAUCUUCUUCAAGAGUCCAUAUCAACAAGAAGGUUUACGACCUCGAUGUUGGAUCAGGACACCCAAAUGGUGCAGCCGCUAUUAAAGGUUCGUUUGUUCAACGAUUAACAGUCCU
rnacentral:rRNA from 1 species